AUUGAACGCUGGCGGCAGGCCUAACACAUGCAAGUCGAGCGAGCCGCGGACGUGUGAGUAGUGUAUGGGGAUCUGCCCGAUAGAGGGGGAUAACUACUGGAAACGGUGUCUAAUCCCGCAUUCUCACGGGUGCACCCAUAUGGGAUUAGCUAGUAGGGGGGGUAAAGGCUCACCUAGGCGACGAUCUCUAGCUGGUCUGAGGGGAUGAUCAGCCACACUGGGACUGAGACACGGCCCAGACUCCUACGGGAGGCAGCAGUGGGGAAUAUGGCACAAUGGGCGCAAGCCUGAUGCAGCCAUGCCGCGUGUAUGAAGAAGGCCUUAGGGUUGUAAAGUACUUUCAGCGGGGAGGCGUUACCCGCAGAAGAAGCACCGGCUAACUCCGUGCCAGCAGCCGCGGUAAUAC
rnacentral:rRNA from 1 species